rnacentral:rRNA from 1 species
CCUACGGGAGGCAGCAGUGAGGAAUAUUGGUCAAUGGACGAGAGUCUGAACCAGCCAAGCCGCGUGAAGGAUGACUGCCCUAUGGGUUGUAAACUGCUUUUAUAUGGGAAUAAAACGUUCCACGUGUGGGAUUUUGUAUGUACCAUAUGAAUAAGGAUCGGCUAACUCCGUGCCAGCAGCCGCGGUAAUACGGAGGAUCCGAGCGUUAUCCGGAUUUAUUGGGUUUAAAGGGAGCGUAGGCGGAUGGUUAAGUCAGUUGUGAAAGUUUGCGGCUCAACCGCGAAAUUGCAGUUGAAACUGGCGGGCUUGAGUACAGUAGCGGUAGGCGGAAUUCAUGGUGUAGCGGUGAAAUGCUUAGAGAUCACGAAGAACACCGAUUGCGAAGGCAGCUUACUAGACUGCAACUGACACUGAGGCUCGAAAGUGUGGGUAUCAAACAGGAUUAGAUACCCUUGUAGUC